CCUCUGAUGGCUCAGUUGGUUAGAGCUCCAGAUAUAUGUGUUGUUACCACAUUAUCUGGUGGCGUGAGUUCGAUUCUCACUCGAAGCA